UUCUAUAGUAUAAACUCAUUUCGGCCAUGAAGUGCAUUUUGAUAUAAAACAGGUGGCCCCAACGUGUUCGAACAUGCAGCCGACUCAUCCUCAAGGUGACCCAAUCUCGUGGAGAAAGCGAAAUCUGUUUACACCACCUUGAAACUUACGCAUCGUUUUCUUCGACGGUGAUAAAACAAAGCUCACCAUAGAGUUCUCAUUUUAACCAUGACGGGUGGAAGUGCGUUUUGAUAUUAGACAGAUGGCCCCAACGUGGCCUCAUCCUCAAGGUGGCACAUGAUUUACGACCGUGUGGAAACAAGCGAGCCCCAACGUGUUGGCGCAUGCAGCGCGGAUGCUGGUUUAUAAGCCGCGUGAUCGCCUCAGGGGGGGAACAGUCUGCUUUCACUCGCUUCACAAGUAAGUUAUUCCCUUUACUUGUUGCACAUUUCUUAAGGAUCGUUUAUUUUCAGUGCCUCGGUGUGUAUUCUGCUUUUUUGAUCCUCACGAUAUUGAGGAUGAAACGGACGACGAUUCUCGGGACGAUGCACCUCCUAUACUGUCUGCUCAUGUGAUGCGAUCGCACCCCGACGUGGAUGCAUCCUUCCUGCCCUUCUUCCAGACUGACGCCACAUUUAGAGGUAUCGUCAAAAGACAUGCUAUUGGCAUCUGUUCACGAUCAGGGAGUAGAGGAUUUGCGACAAUAUUUAAUGAGUCACUUUCACGAUAUGGUCGCUAUAUUGAGAGCGCAAAGAAUACCCUUUAGGUUUUGCAUUUGUUCCGAUGUUUUAAUUGUGAGGGAAACUCGGGGGGAGAUAAUCGCGCACAUUGCCCACUUUAUGGCGUUUGCUCGCGAAGUCCACAGCGACGGAGACGAAUACCCUAAUGGACACGAUUCAGGAGUCCACGGGGCGCGUCGAAAUUUAUCAGCGGGAAGGGAGCGGGUUCGUGUGCACCGACGUCCAAAACGUUCAAAUAUGUAUUCCCGCGGUGAAAACUAAAAAAUUUGGAUGCAAUGGGGUGCUUCCCGAUCCUUUGGCUAAGCGCAGGAACGUGCUGACGAAUAUUAAUUUACUAGCACGUAAGGAGGGUGAGUGUUUUAAACACAAUACGCUCGCCCUCCUGCACCCACAGGAAACGAAUUUGUGGAAAAAAUGUGAAAACUAUGCAGCGGAGUACUGGUGCCCUAGUCGCUACCCCGUUUCCUACUCUGAUCUGGAUGAAUUUGAAGACAAAAACAAGAUAUCCGUGUACGUAUACCAGUAUGUCGAUCAGGGAGUGCACGUGUCGCGACCUCCAAAACUCGAGUAUGAAAAGAAAAUUCACUUAUUGGCUAUAGAUGAACAUUUUUUCGGAAUCAAGUCUCUCGAGCGGUUACUGAUGAGAGACAAUAGGCGUUUCGUAUGCGAGCGUUAACGAGGAAAAAAGCCUGUGCGCGAGCGUAAACGAAAUCAUAUUGGAAUUUUGCGAACCGGGCAAAAACUUUAUAGAAUUUACUAAAAUACAGUACAAGCAGCAGUACAACUACGUCGUCGCGUUGGACACGGAGAGCGUUCUCGCGAUUACAUCGCGACGCUGUGCAACCCCUGUAACGUGGCGUGCACGACCCGGGAAAAACUGCCCAUCAUGGUACACAAUCUGGCCUACGAUUUGGCCGGACUACUGCGGGAAUUUCACCUUCUCGAGUGGAAGCGAGCUCCCUUCAUCGUGGCCAGUUCCAUGGAAAAAAUCGGAUCGUUCGAAAUUGGCACCUUCCUAUUCAGAGAUACCAUGCAGUACCUAAAUUCGACGCUGGGAGAGCUCGUGGAAACAGUCAAAUCCAUGGGGGCGCAGAGGCGUUCCAAUGCCUGAAGCAGGUAUUUGGAGACGACUACGAAAUUUUGCUUCGUAAAGGUGUAUUCCCGUACAGCCACGUUAGCUCGUUCGUGGUCUACGACGAAUUAGCUCUGCCGGCAAAAUCCGCCUUCCGAAACGAUCUGACGGGGGAGGAUAUAAGCGACGAAGACUAUCAGUACGCGCAGCACGUAUUUGAACGUUUCAGAUGCUCGAAUCUGAGGGAUUAUAAUGCAUUGUACCUGAAAACGCAUGCCCUGUUACAUGCUGACGUAAUGCAGCACUUCCGGCGCUUGUGCUACGACGCGCGUGGUUUGGAAUUGCUUCAUUGCGUUUCUCUGGCAUCCUAUUCGUGGCAAUGCCCUCUAAAUUACACGCGGGCAAAAUUGGAACUGAUCAUCGACGAGGACAUGUACCGGACCAUCGAAUCGGGUGUUAGAGGCGGGCUCUGUAAGCGAGCAGGCGUCAUUUACGGGCUAACAACCCGCUGUGCAGUGGCUACGAUCCCGAUAAAGAGGAGGUGUACAUUUAGUACAUAGAUUGCAACAAUCUUUACGAAUUCAGCAUGAUAUAGCACCUCCCCGUCGGCGAUUUCGAAUGGGUCGAGGAUUUUAGCUCCGUGGAUUUUAUGCGUCACCCCACGGAUUCGGAUGUGGGAUACGUGUACGUGGGCGACUUGGAGUAUCCAAAAUCUAUCCACGCGCUGACGCGGUACUUCCCCUGGCUCCCGAGAAGGCGGUCGUCCCGAAGGAAUGGCUCUCACCAUUCCAGCGAGGGCUCCUCGAAGAGUUAAUGUAUCAGCCGGCGAACAGCAAAAAGCUGCUGCUCACGUGCAAGGACAAGGUCGAGUAUGUCGUUCAUUACGCAUAGAGUCACUAAAUAAGCUACGCUAGCUUAUUUAGUAACUCUAAUUACGCGCUGCUCGCGCUCUAUUGUAGACUGGGCAUGCAGGUGACAAAAAUUCACAGAAUUCUAAAAUUUCGUCAGGCACCAUUCCUGCGUCCCUACAUCAAGGACAAUGUUGUCAGACGCGUCGCCUCGAGCACGACGUUCGAGAAAAAUUUCUAUAAAAUCUCAAAUAAUAUGGUCUUCGGGCGUACGCUGCUAAAUAAAUUUAAUAUGCUAGACAUUCGAGUAGCCUUCGAUGAGGAGACGGCGAGUCGCCUCGGGAGUCGGGCGGAAUGCGCGCGAAUGGAAAUUUUGUCCCCUGAUUGUGUCAUGUACGAAAUGCGCAAAAGAAAAGUGCGAUGCGAUUUCCCCCUGCAGAUUGGCUUCACGAUUUUAGAACUGAGUAAGUUAACCAUGUACUCAUUCUACUAUGAAACCCUGUUGAGCAAGCUCACUUGUCCGGUGAUUACCUGCUAUUUUGACACGGACUCUCUGAUCCUCAGCCUAUUCUGCAAGGACUACGAAGAUCAGUUACGUUCGAUCGCCGACGACCAUUUAGACUUGUCUUCCUUCGAUCGUGAUCAUCCACUGUACAGUGAGAGGAAUCGCGGUAGACUUCGCGCGUUCAAAAGUGAAACGGGUAGCGUACCCAUUGAGGAAGUAAUAUGCUUGAAAGCCAAAAUGUAUUCCAUCAAAUUAGCCGGGGGAAAACAAAUUGCAAGAGCUAAAGGGAUCAAAAAGUACAUUGUGCGCAAACACCUCCUCCAUGAUACGUACCGCGAUACCCUAUUCAAGCACGCCAGCGUAUCGCACGAACAGGUGUCAAUAGUGGGAAAGAAACAGUGCAUGUACACCAUCAGAAAUGUGAAAAGAAGUCUGAUGGCGUACGACGACAAACGAUACCUCUACAAUGACGUGGACUCCUACCCGUACGGAAGCUGCAAAAAUGAUAAUGCAGAGGAUGAGUAGGAGUAGCGUCAUUUGACCUGCGUCACUGGAAGGAUGUGGUACCUCGUUCUCUUCUCGCUCGUCUCGUGCGCGCUGGCGCUGGACGCCGGCAACUGUACUGCGAGCAUCAAGCUGGAGAAGGAUAAGCACACGUACGCGCACGAAUGCCCUGGCGACAUCUUGGCCAUCAGAGAGUGGCACGUGGUACCUAUGCGAUCCGGCAUUAACCUGAAUAGGGACACCACUGGAUCGCUGCGCACGUGCCUUCACUCGCUGGACGUGAGCGACAGCUACGAGAUAUCCAGUGCACGCGGAAGUGCCAGCUCAUGGAGGACGAAAUUUUUCUCAGCCGCUGUCCCGGAGACGUCUACAUGAUCCGUCACUUCCGUGGAACCACACCCAGCAUCAAAGGAAUCAACCUCUCCAAGACCACCAUGCUUUUCCUCAAACAUGUACUCAAUAACCGUUCAAGGGUAUUUUUUCCCUGUCUGU